AACGAACGCUGGCGGCAGGCUUAACACAUGCAAGUCGAGCGCCCCGCAAGGGGAGCGGCAGACGGGUGAGUAACGCGUGGGAACGUGCCCUUUGGUUCGGAACAACUCCGGGAAACUGGAGCUAAUACCGGAUAAGCCCUUCGGGGGAAAGAUUUAUCGCCAAAGGAUCGGCCCGCGUCUGAUUAGCUAGUUGGUGAGGUAAUGGCUCACCAAGGCGACGACCAGUAGCUGGUCUGAGAGGAUGAUCAGCCACACUGGGACUGAGACACGGCCCAGAAUCCUACGGGAGGCAGCAGUGGGGAAUAUUGGACAAUGGGCGCAAGCCUGAUCCAGCCAUGCCGCGUGAGUGAUGAAGGCCUUAGGGUUGUAAAGCUCUUUUGUCCGGGAAGAUAAUGACUGUACCGGAAGAAUAAGCCCCGGCUAACUUCGUGCCAGCCGCCGCCGUAAUAC
rnacentral:rRNA from 1 species